AGAGUUUGAUCCUGGCUCAGAGUGAACGCUGGCGGCGUGCCUAAUACAUGCAAGUCGAACGAUGAAGCUUCUAGCUUGCUAGAAUGCUGAUUAGUGGCGCACGGGUGAGUAACGCAUAGGUCAUGUGCCUCUUAGUUUGGGAUAGCCAUUGGAAACGAUGAUUAAUACCAGAUACUCCCUACGGGGGAAAGAUUUAUCGCUAAGAGAUCAGCCUAUGUCCUAUCAGCUUGUUGGUAAGGUAAUGGCUUACCAAGGCUAUGACGGGUAUCCGGCCUGAGAGGGUGAACGGACACACUGGAACUGAGACACGGUCCAGACUCCUACGGGAGGCAGCAGUAGGGAAUAUUGCUCAAUGGGGGAAACCCUGAAGCAGCAACGCCGCGUGGAGGAUGAAGGUUUUAGGAUUGUAAACUCCUUUUGUUAGAGAAGAUAAUGACGGUAUCUAACGAAUAAGCACCGGCUAACUCCGUGCCAGCAGCCGCGGUAAUACGGAGGGUGCAAGCGUUACUCGGAAUCACUGGGCGUAAAGAGCGUGUAGGCGGGAUAGUCAGUCAGGUGUGAAAUCCUAUGGCUUAACCAUAGAACUGCAUUUGAAACUACUAUUCUAGAGUGUGGGAGAGGUAGGUGGAAUUCUUGGUGUAGGGGUAAAAUCCGUAGAGAUCAAGAGGAAUACUCAUUGCGAAGGCGACCUGCUGGAACAUUACUGACGCUGAUUGCGCGAAAGCGUGGGGAGCAAACAGGAUUAGAUACCCUGGUAGUCCACGCCCUAAACGAUGGAUGCUAGUUGUUGGAGGGCUUAGUCUCUCCAGUAAUGCAGCUAACGCAUUAAGCAUCCCGCCUGGGGAGUACGGUCGCAAGAUUAAAACUCAAAGGAAUAGACGGGGACCCGCACAAGCGGUGGAGCAUGUGGUUUAAUUCGAAGAUACACGAAGAACCUUACCUAGGCUUGACAUUGAGAGAAUCCGCUAGAAAUAGUGGAGUGUCUGGCUUGCUAGACCUUGAAAACAGGUGCUGCACGGCUGUCGUCAGCUCGUGUCGUGAGAUGUUGGGUUAAGUCCCGCAACGAGCGCAACCCCCUUUCUUAGUUGCUAACAGGUUAUGCUGAGAACUCUAAGGAUACUGCCUCCGUAAGGAGGAGGAAGGUGGGGACGACGUCAAGUCAUCAUGGCCCUUACGCCUAGGGCUACACACGUGCUACAAUGGGGUGCACAAAGAGAAGCAAUACUGCGAAGUGGAGCCAAUCUUCAAAACACCUCUCAGUUCGGAUUGUAGGCUGCAACUCGCCUGCAUGAAGCUGGAAUCGCUAGUAAUCGCAAAUCAGCCAUGUUGCGGUGAAUACGUUCCCGGGUCUUGUACUCACCGCCCGUCACACCAUGGGAGUUGUGUUUGCCUUAAGUCAGGAUGCUAAAUUGGCUACUGCCCACGGCACACACAGCGACUGGGGUGAAGUCGUAACAAGGUAACCGUAGGUGAACCUGCGGUUG
rnacentral:rRNA from 3 species